UACGGAGGGGGCUAGCGUUAUUCGGAAUUACUGGGCGUAAAGCGCACGUAGGCGUAUCUGCAAGUCAGAGGUGAAAUCCCAGGGCUCAACCUUGGAACUGCCUUUGAAACUGCGGGUCUUGAGUUCGAGAGAGGUGAGUGGAAUUCCGAGUGUAGAGGUGACAUUCGUGGAUAUUCGGAUGAACACCAGUGGCGAAGGCGGCUCACUGGCUCGAUACUGCCGCUGAGGUGCGAAAGCGUGGGGAGCAAACAGG
rnacentral:rRNA from 1 species